GGGCCCGACGGGAGACGGAAUGGCGGCGGGCGGGAAGUUGUGUGAGGGGAGCUGCCCCUAAGGCCAGAGAAUGAAGAUAUUGACUAUUUAGUGAAUGAUAGAACUGCUUACCUCGCUAUAAAUGAUCAUAAAGGUCCUUAGUUGUCCCCCCCUUAGCUGGGGGCCACAGGGUUAGAUGUGAAAUGAAAUCUAACAAAUGAGUGUUUGUAUGUGCUUGAUACCCUUCUUACGGGAUGGGGUUUGUGGAACAAACUGGGAGCUGGGAUCUAAGCUUUGAUUAGAAUAAGGAUUAGAUACACAUCGCGCAAGGUAAUCCUGGCAGGUACCAAUAUGUGCAUGGGAAAGCCCAAUAACAAAGACCCAGCAAUGUUGUAUGGUGCUUCCCAAGGGCUCAAGAACAGCCCUACAACAUCUGGUAAUGUACUGGAUAAAGAAUGGAGCAAUUGCAAGGAAAGAAAUGGACAAUUGCUUUACUACUAGGGCAGAGAGUUGCCAUUUAUGUACCACGGGUUGUCAUAGCUCUUAUGGAAUAAAAGGGACAUCACUGCCCCCCAGUAGAAUGGUACUGCUUGAGCAAGAUGGCAUGACAUUAAAAAAUGCCAAGUGUUUUAAAUCCUGCCUAUAAAUGAGGAAGAUGAGAUUGUUUGCAAGAAGCUGAAUGGUUCCAGACAGACAGAUCUAAGUGAUAGCCCUCUGGAAAGUCCUGUCUGGGAGCUACUCACUGAUGGAAUCAGCUUUGUUCUUAAAGGGGAACAGAAAGCUGGAUACGCAAUUAUAGCCUUGGAAGAAGAUAGAUAUCUUAAAUGUUAAGACUCCUGUUUAUAAGAAAAGAAGGUAAGUUUGGUGAGCUGUUAAAUUGUACUGAAACUACUGAAGAAUAACAGGUAACACCUGAUGAACAGUAUGUAAUUACCCCUCCAGUAGUGAAAGAAUUAACAGAAAGAGCAUGCAAGAGCAUUCAUCUGCAAGUGUGUAUAUACUAGGUACUGUAUUGGAGGAGCACAAGCAUAUGUGGUAGGAAGCAUCAUUGUUAUUGGUUGCCAAAAUGUUGUUCAAAUAAAUGUCAAGUGGUCAGGUAGAAAGAAUGAAUCAAAUAUUAAAAAGACAAUUUCAGUAGUUAUGUCAAGAAGCGCAUUUGAAAUGAGUUGGCAUUGCUGAGAGCUCAAAUAGCCCGCAGCAUGAUGGAAGGAGCUAAUCCUUUUGAAAUCUUACACAGAAAAUAAUAAUACUAUAAAUUUCAGAUCAGAUGCAUGUAGCUGGUUGUCAAAUACUUACUGAAUAUGUCUUUUCUUUGGCAAGGGUCUUUUUCUUCCCUUCUCAGGCACAUGCAAUUAGGAACUCCUGGACAUGCCCACACCUUCCUCAAACCAUGGGACCAAGUGUAUCUCCAAACCUAUGUCUGAGAAGUGAAAAGAACCUCAUCUGAUACUCCUAACAACAGACACUGCGGUAAAAGUAAGGGGAUUGAGUCUUGGGUUCAUUACACCAAGACAAAAACAGGUCCGUGUGAGAAGUGGAGAGGUGAAGAAGUCAAUUUCCUAGAGCUAAAAAUCAAGAGAAAUGCAUGAACUGCACCUGGAAUGAAUCGGUAGCUUAUUUAGGACUGGGUUGUACUCUUGGAACUCUUUGCUUUUGUAAUUUUGAUUUUACUCGUUUUACAUUUUUAACAAAUGUAUUGUUGGUAAUUUUAGCCUCUGUCUGUUUAUAUGUUGUGUUGCAGUGUAUAUCCAAGUGUUGCUUGAAGUCAGCGAACAAAACCUCAGAGAGAACGAGAUUAAUCUAAACUGCACUGUUAGGUGCAAAGGGGGAAACUGUAGCGAGUCAAGUGGGAAUUAAUCUUUGUACAAGUCUUUAUAUGGGCAUCCUUCAGAUUCAGCAAAGACAACACGUAGUAAUACACAGAUUGAGUAACCAGUCAUAGAGCUGGAGGCUGUACUGGAAUAGUGGCCAAGUGAUAAGAAUGUGUAUAAAAGUGGGCUGAAGCCUGAGGGAUUUGUGUCCCAGCCCCAGGGAUGAAUAUCCCUGUAGCCUACAUGCUUGUGGCUGCCUCAGAUAGCUUUUGCUUCUCACAAUAUACACUGUUUCAAGUGCUUUUCUGUUUUCCUGUCUGCCUUCAAUAGGGCUUUUAGUUCUUUCCCUAGUAAGAGUGCAUUUCACAGCUCUUCCAUUUCCCUUGGCCUGGGAGAACAGCCAAGGGACUGCUCUCCAAGCUGUUGAGGCAUGCGAUGAAAUCCACCCUUAUAACCAGGCCCCUCUGGUUUUGGUUUACUGUGUUAACUUCUGCACUGACUGUUGAGCAUCUCUUUUGCUUCAGCUUGCUGCAGCUUCCUCAGUGUGGAACUCAUUCACCUGUAAAGUUUCUAACCCACUGAGGUUUGUAUGUCUAAGGAUCAACACAGGCUUGCAAUACACACAAGGACUGAGAGUGCUGCAGCCCUCAGGGCUGCAUUUCUGACUAUCAGCACUAGGUGUCGGGUGAUUAGAAUGACUAUCUUGAGAAGACCGGACAGAUUUUGACAAAAGAGUGAUGCAUUGAUGUACUUCAUUCUAGAAUCGAGUGUCAUCCAUGUGUAACCAUCUGCUUGGCUCCCAAUUGUCUGCUGUCCUCCCUUGGUUGUGGUGUCACAGCAGAACGUGCAGACAUGCUGCUUUGGGAUGUGCUCAGCUGCCAAAAUCUGGCAGGACAAUGAGAUUAUUUUUAUUCCUGUAAAGACGAGCUUCACUGAUGAGGUCAGCACCGUGCUGUUCAUCUGCCCAUCUUGUGGGUGCUGUAGCACACACACAACUGCCUGUGCCGUGUGGAUGUGUCUGCUGGGACCCAGCUCCUCCCAUCAUAAUUUCAGCCAUUUGGACAUUGCACUGUGGGUUCCCCUCUUCACCUCUCACCCUUAUAAUUGCUCACCUAAACAACAGGGUGUUGCUGCAGAUCACGAUUACUAGCUCUCACCGUAUCACCACAGGCGUUCUUUCUCCAUUCCUGUCGAGAAAUAAGAAGCAGCCUGCUGGGGAAAGCCAGAAUUAGGAGAAGUAAGAGUUCACCGAGCUGCAACAUGCUUUCAAAAUGUAUUGCAGUUUCUGGUAGGAAGAAGUAAUGCCCUGGAUCUGCAGAUCCAGGGGCCAAACAUAUGUGUGAAGACAAAUGGGAGUACAAGACGGUGCAAUGAAAGCAGCAAUUUUGUGGGCAAGAAAGAAUGCCCAGAGCUCAGAAGCAAGGAUGUUUUAGCCAGCGUCCAACCUUGAGAGAUGCGUUCCUCUGCUUUUGUGAAAUAAUCUGCAGAACAGGAGAAAUUGGCCUAGGAGGAAUCAGCUGAGCCAAGGGACAGGAUGGGCCAAGUGAGAGAUGUAGCAUGUACAGCGUGUCCAAAGAAUGCAGCACAAGAAGAAAGGUAUUUUGGUAGCACCACAAAGGGCUCACUUUGCUCUGCGAAUCAUUUGAGAGCUGUAUCCUGUGGCCAGGAUGUAACAUUUAACACAGGAAAGCCAUCUAUCUGCCUGGAGCUAACAACACGUUCCUGGAGGAGUCUGCUAUUUAAAAGAACAGGACACUACAACGGGAAGAAA